CCUGCGGGUUGUAAAGCUACUUUUAGGUGGGGACAAAAAGCUAUGGGCUAAUACCCUGUGGUCUUGAUUUAACCCAAAGAAAAAGCACCGGCUAACUCUGUGC
rnacentral:rRNA from 1 species